rnacentral:lncRNA from 1 species
AGAUGCCUGAGAAAGUGCACGUGGAGCGGAGGAGCUGGAAACUUGCCUUUCAGGCAGAUAUUGCCCAACUCAUGUCUCUCGUCAUCAAUACCUUCUAUUCUAACAAGGAGAUUUUCCUUCAGGGGUUGAUCUAAUGUUUCUGAUGCAUUGGACAAGAUUUCCUGUAAGAGCCUGACAAACCCUUCCAAGUUGGACAAUGGUAAAGAGCUGGAAGUUAACAUCAUCCCCAACCCAUGGUAAUGGUUCCCAAAUUAGGAGAUCAGCCUUGGUCAUGUCAAUGCCUGUGUCUACCAAAGUCAGGGUGUAUUCCCUGGUACUAAAGGAUUUAUGGAGGCUCUUCAGGCUAGUGUAGAUAUCUCCAUGAUUGGGCAGUUUGGUGCUGCCUUUUUUUCUGCCUACCUUGUGGCAGAGAAAGUAGUUGUGAUCACAAAGCACAACAAUGAUGAAGAGUAUGCCUGGGAGUCUCUGCUGGGGGUUCCUUCACUGUAUGUGCUGACCAUGGAGAGCCCAUUGGCAGGGGUACCAAAGUGACCCUCCACCUUAAAGAAGACCAGACAGAGUACUUAGAAGAGAGGAAGGUCAAAGAAGUAGUGAAGAGCACUUACAGUUCAUAGCCUAUCCCAUUACCCUUUCUUUGGAGAAGGAAAGAGAGGAGAAAAUCAGUGAUGAUAGGCAGAGGAAGAGAAAGGUGAGAAAGAAGAGGAAGAUAGGCCAGGCACAAUGGCUCAUGCCUGUAAUCCCAGGACUUUGGGAGGCUGAGGUGGCAGAUCGAUUGAACUCAGGAGUUUGAGACCAGCCUAGCCAACAUGGUGAAACCCCAACUCUUUAAAAGAUACAAAAAAUUAGGCGGUCAUGGUGGUGCGCACCUUAGGUCCCAGCUACUUGUGGGGCUGAAGUGGGAGGAUCCACCAGGAGGUGGAGGUUGCAGUGAGCUCAUAUCACACCACCGCACUCCAGCCUGGACGACAGAGUGUUACACCAUCUCAAAACAAACAAAAAAAGGCAGAUAGAGAUGAUGAGAAAAAGUCCAAGAUUGAAGAAGAUGUGGGUGGGUUCAGAUGAAGAGGAGGACAAUGGUAAGGAUAAGAAAAAGAAAACCAACAAGAUCAAGGAGAAAUCAUUGAUUGGGAAGAACUAAACAAGAUCAAGAACAUUUGGAUCAGAAACUCUGAUGACAUUCACCCAGGAGGAGUAUAGAGAAUUCUACAAGAGCUUCACCAGUGACUAGGAAGACCAUUUGGCAGUCAAGCACUUCUCUGUAGAAGGUUGGUUGGAAUUCAGAGCAUUGCUGUUCAUCCCUUGUUUGGCUCCCUUUGACUUCUUUGAGAAUGAGAAGAAAAAAAGAACAACAAACUCUGUGUCCAUCAUGUGUUCAUCAUGGACAGCCAUGAUGAUAUAAGAGUAUCUCAACUUUAAUCCUUGGUGUGGUUGACUUGGGAUCUGCCCCUGAACAUCUCUCGAGAAAUGCUCCAACAGAGCAGAAUCUUAACAGUCAUUCACAGAAACAUUGUUAAGAAGUGCCUUGAGCUGUUCUCUGAGGUGGCAGAAGACAAGGAGAAUUGCAAGAAAUUCAAUGAGGCCUUAUCUAAAAAUCUAAAGCUUGGGCCAGUUGUGGUAUCUCACCUCUGUAAUCUCAGCACUUUGGGAGGCCAAGGCAGGAGGAUUGCUGGAAGCCAGGAGUUUGAUACCAGCCUGGGCUGCAAAGCAAGACACCAUCACAACAAAAAAUAAAAAAAAUUAACCCAGCAUGGUGGUACACACCUGUAGUCCAAGCUACCUGAGGCAAGAGGAUCACUUGAGCCCACGAGUUCCAGGCUGCAGUGAGCUAUGAUUGCACCACUGCACUCCAGCCUGGAUGACAGAGUGAAACCCCUAUCUAUAAAAAAAAAAUAAAUAAAAUUUUAGAAUUUCAAAAAUUAAAAUCUAAAGCUUGGAAUCCACAAAGACUCCACUAGCCAGUGACGCAUGUCCUAGCUGCUGCAGUAUCACACUUCCCAGUCUGGAGAUGAGAUGACAUCUGUGUCAAAAUAUGUCUCCUGCAUGAAAGAGGCACAGAAAUCCAUCUAUAGCAUCACUGGUGAGAGCAAAGAGCAGGUGGCCAGCUCUGUGUUUGUGGAGCAAGUGCAGAAGUGGGGCUUUGAAUUAGUAUAUACAGCCAAGCCCACUGAUGAGUACUGCGUGCAGCAGCUCAAGGAGUUUGAUGGGAAAAGCCUGGUCUCAGUUACCAAGGAGAGUCUGCAGCUGCCUGAGUGAGCUGAGA